UACGUAGGGGGCAAGCGUUGUCCGGAUUUAUUGGGCGUAAAGAGCGUGUAGGCGGUUAGGUAGGUCCGUUGUGAAAACUCGAGGCUCAACCUCGAGACGCCGAUGGAAACCAUCUAACUAGAGUCCGGAAGAGGAGAAUGGAAUUCCUGGUGUAGCGGUGAAAUGCGCAGAUAUCAGGAGGAACACCCGUAGCGAAGGCGGCACUCUGGGCCGAUACUGACACUGAGGAGCGAAAGCGUGGGGAGCAAACAGG
rnacentral:rRNA from 1 species